rnacentral:rRNA from 1 species
AUGGCGCUCGUCUCCACCACCACCGUCGCCUCCUCGUCGUCCUACUCCUACCACUACGACCACCCGCUCCGCCCGGUGGCCGCCAGGAGCUGGUGCCGCCCGAGGAGCCGCGGCGGGGGCGGGGGCGGGGGCAGGCUGGCGGUGCUGGCGCGGGCGCGGGGCCAGCUGACGACCACGCCCAAGGAGGAGGCCGCCCCGGCGGCGGCGGGGGCGGGGGAGCGGGGCAGGUACUCGUACGAGGUGGACUCGCUGAUCGACCGGCUGAGCAACCUGGCGCCGCGGGGCUCCAUCGCGCGGUGCCUCGAGACGGCCAAGCACCGGCUGACGCUGCAGGACUUCGCGGCGGUGUACCGCGAGUUCUCCCGCCGCGGCGACUGGCAGCGCUCCGUGCGCCUCUUCAAGUACAUGCAGCGCCAGUCCUGGUGCCGCCCCGACGAGCACAUCCACGCCAUCGUCAUCGGCGUGCUCGGCCGCCAGGGCCCGGCCCUCCUCGACAAGUGCCUCGAGGUCUUCCAGGACCUCCCCGCCGACGCCCGCACCGCGCUCUCCUACACCUCCCUCAUCGCCGCCUACGCCCGCAACGCGCUGCACGACGACGCCCGCGCCCUGCUCGACCAGAUGAAGGCCCAGGGGGUCGCCCCCACCGCCGCCACCUACAACACCGUGCUCGCCGCCUGCGCCCGCGCCGCCGACCCGCCCGUCCCCUUCGACAUGCUCCUCGGCCUCUUCGCCGAGAUGCGCCACGACCCUUCCCCGGCCGUGCGCCCCGACCUCACCACCUACAACACGCUCCUCGCCGCUGCCGCCGUGCGCGCCCUCAGCGACCAGUCCGAGAUGCUGCUGCGCACCAUGCUUGAGGCCGGCAUUAUUCCGGACACCGCGUCCUACCGCUACAUCGUGGAUGCCUUUGCCAAUGCCGGCGACCUCUCCCGUGUCGCCGAGCUGUUCCGCGAGAUGGCGGACACAGGGCACACGCCGGACCCCUCCGCGUAUCUCGGGCUCAUGGAGGCUCACACCCGGAUUGGUGCCACCGCUGAAGCUGUGGCCGUGCUGCGGCAAAUGCAGGCUGAUGGCUGUGCGCCCACGGCUGCGACAUACCGUGUCCUGCUCGAUCAGUAUGGAAAACAGGGGAGGUUCGAUGGCGUGCGUGAGCUCUUCCGUGAGAUGAGAACGGCUGUACCUCCAGACACGGCCACCUACAAUGUGCUCUUCAAUGUAUUCGGUGAUGGCGGUUUUUUCAAGGAGGUGGUGGAGCUCUUCCAUGAUAUGCUUCGUACGGGGAUAGAACCUGACAUGGAGACCUGUGAAGGUGUCUUGGCUGCGUGUGGUCAGGGUGGUCUCCAUGAGGAUGCAAGAGAAGUUCUUGACUAUAUAACCAAAGAAGGAAUGGUGCCUACUGCAAAGGCCUACACUGGCCUAAUUGAAGCCCUUGGUCACGCAGCUAUGUAUGAGGAGGCCUAUGUUGCAUUCAACAUGAUGACUGAAAUCGGUAGCUUGCCAACGAUAGAGACCUACAAUUCUCUUGCAAAUGUGUUUGCCAAGGGCGGGCUCUUCCGGGAGGCUGAGUCCGUCUUUUCUCGGAUGACCAACAGUGCUGGCAUUCAGAAAAGCAAAGAUUCAUAUGAUGCCCUCAUCGAAGCGUACUGCCAGGGUUCACAGUUGGAUGACGCAGUGAAGGCAUACAUGGAGAUGCGCAAGUCUAGGUUUAACCCUGAUGAACGCUCCCUUGAGGGGGUACUCAAUGCCUACUGCAUAGCAGGUGUUAUAGAUGAGAGCAAAGAGCAGUUUGAAGAGAUCAGAUCCAACAUGACUGUGCCUAGCAUUAUUGCUUAUUGCAUGAUGUUGUCACUAUAUGCAAGGAACGACAGGUGGGCUGAUGCUUAUGAUCUGCUGGAAGAAAUGAAAGCAAAUCGUGCUAGUAAUACACAUCAAGUCAUUGCUUCCAUGAUAAAAGGGGAGUACGAUAAUAGCUCCAAUUGGCAAAUGGUUGAAUACGUCCUUGACAGCAGUAACUUGGAAGGAUGUGACUACAGCUUACGAUUUUUUAAUUCUCUCCUUGACGUGCUUUGGUGGUUCGGCCAAAAGGCUCGGGCUGCAAGGGUUCUAGAUCAUGCAGUAAGUUAUGGGCUCUUCCCUGAAUUAUCCCGUGACACCAAGCUGGUCUGGUCUCUAGAUGUACAUAGGAUGUCCGUUGGUGGGGCAUUAGUGGCUGUGUCAGUAUGGCUCAAUAAACUUUACACCAGACUAAAAAGAGAGAAAGACCUUCCCCAACUGGCCUCUGUUGUUGUAUUGAGGGGGGAAAUGGAGAAAAGCACCGUCACAAGAGGACUGCCGAUCUCAAAAGUCGUGUACUCCUUUCUCAACGACACGCUGUCGGCAUCGUUCCAUUACCCAAAAUGGAACAAGGGGCGAGUCAUAUGCCUGAAGUCCCAGCUGAAAAAGCUGCAGGCGGCCAUAGAUUCCUCGAACGGCGCGGCCGUCCCCGGCUUCGUCCACAUGACGGACUCCCGCCUGCCGUCCCCUGGCUCGAAGGUGUACACCCGGGAGCCCCAGGUGGAGAACGGCUCGGCCCAUGCCCAUUCCACUGCUGAAUCGUUGGUAGAAGAAGAAGAAAAGGAGUCGGAACUCCUCGCGCUGUGA